GCGGCGGACGGGUGAGUAACACGUGGAUAACCUACCUAUAAGACUGGGAUAACUUCGGGAAACCGGAGCUAAUACCGGAUAACAUAUUGAACCGCAUGGUUCAAUAGUGAAAGGCGGCUUUGCUGUCACUUAUAGAUGGAUCCGCGCCGUAUUAGCUAGUUGGUAAGGUAACGGCUUACCAAGGCAACGAUACGUAGCCGACCUGAGAGGGUGAUCGGCCACACUGGAACUGAGACACGGUCCAGACUCCUACGGGAGGCAGCAGUAGGGAAUCUUCCGCAAUGGGCGAAAGCCUGACGGAGCAACGCCGCGUGAGUGAUGAAGGUCUUCGGAUCGUAAAACUCUGUUAUCAGGGAAGAACAAAUGUGUAAGUAACUGUGCACAUCUUGACGGUACCUGAUCAGAAAGCCACGGCUAACUACGUGCCAGCAGCCGCGGUAAUACGUAGGUGGCAAGCGUUAUCCGGAAUUAUUGGGCGUAAAGCGCGCGUAGGCGGUUUUUUAAGUCUGAUGUGAAAAGCCCACGGCUCAACCGUGGAGGGUCAUUGGAAACUGGAAAAACUUGAGUG
rnacentral:rRNA from 1 species